AAUAAAGGCAAUGUAGCACCAAUAAUAAGAAUUUCAUUUUUCAUAUCUCAUUUGAUUUUCAAACAAUGAGAGGAGAGAAAUUGACAUUUGUUUUCUAAACAAAUCUCACGAGGUUCUAUGAGAAUACAGAUUCAUUACAUCCAAGAUGGGACUUCAGAUAAAUGGCAAACUCAUCCUUCUAGGUGCAGCUCUCCCCAGAGGAUAUAGACGUGCAUUUAUACAGUCAAGCAGUACUGGAAAGACCUUGUUCGCAGCUGCUUUGGUUACCACCACCAUAUUGCCCUUUCCACCCAAUUUCACUGUCACCCGAUAUCCUAUUCUAACAAACCAUUUUGUCAAAUGAAAGAGUCUAUAGGUAUUUGAUUUCUCCUUGGAGAGCAGCUCACUGUGUGUGAAUCAAAAGCAAGGUCUUAGACUUGAUAGCUUCAAACAAGAGGAGUUGAUCACAGAUAUUCAGAGCUUUUGGGUCAGCCCAAGUCCUGGCGUGUUAUUGUUUUUGUUCCUGCGAAUAGUUAGUGUACAAACAAGACCAUAAAACCUAAGGGACAGAUGUGGUUACACUAUAAAAGCAAAGACAAUAUCACAGCCAAGUUACUGUGGGUGAAAGUAAGUGGAAUUUAGCUGCUCAGGAUUAAGCUUUCGGUGCUCAGGACCCCUCAAACAUGAAGAAAUGCCUUGAAUACACCUUGCUCCUCAUCAUCUCUUCACUUCAAGACUCACUGCAGCAGAGAAUCAUUGGAGGACAGGAGGUUGAGCCCUACUCCAUAAAGUACCAGGCCUCUAUCCAGUACAACAACUUCCAUUACUGCGGAGGAACGCUCAUACACCGGCAGUGGGUGGUUACUGCCGCCCACUGCUGGAGACCAUGAGUAUUUCAGUCAGAAUUCACCUUUAUUGACAAGGAACUGAACACAGUAAGCAUGUUACAGUAUUUGAGGUAGGCCAUAUCUUCACUCUGACUGUACUGAUGUGAUAAUGUUGAAUAAUGUAUAAUUUUACUCCUAGAGAUUUAUUCAGAUCAACACCAAAACUGGUAUGCCUAAUCUAAAGGCCUUUGUGAUGUUAAAUUGCGAAGA